rnacentral:misc_RNA from 1 species
GGAUAACAGAAUAGGUACUAUGGAACCAACUUGAAGACCCGAACUGACCUAGAAACACAACACCGACAAUGACGGAACGAUUAUCCCAAAAGUUAUUGACCUCAGUGAGGACCUGUCUCAUUUAUUUUUAAGCACUAAAAACGAUGGCAAAACUCAAUGGUUUCCAAUUCCCAACAAAGCAACCUGUUUCAAAACUAACAAUGGCCAAAUAAUAUGUUUAGGCUGCCACAGCAUCCCCUCAAACAGUAAUUUUAAUUCCUCUCCAUCUCUCUCUCAGUUGCGAUUCAAGCAUGACAUCCAGGUAUAAGGUAUAACCCAAACCAGACUGUUAAGCUUCAAGGAAUACAGUUCCA